rnacentral:rRNA from 1 species
CGCGUAGGCGGCCUUCUAAGUCGAACGUGAAAUCCCCGGGCUCAACCCGGGAACUGCGUCCGAUACUGGAAGGCUUGAAUCCGGGAGAGGGAUGCGGAAUUCCAGGUGUAGCGGUGAAAUGCGUAGAUAUCUGGAGGAACACCGGUGGCGAAGGCGGCAUCCUGGACCGGCAUUGACGCUGAGGCGCGAAAGCUAGGGGAGCAAACG